rnacentral:rRNA from 2 species
GGGAAUGGCGGGGCUAUGAUGCAGUCGUACGAAACUUUCUUACACCGAAUGCUUGCAUUCACCGUAAGAAGUUGAGUGGCGGACGGGUGAGUAACACGUGGGUAACCUGCCUAAAAGAAGGGGAUAACACUUGGAAACAGGUGCUAAUACCGUAUAUCUCUAAGGAUCGCAUGAUCCUUAGAUGAAAGAUGGUUCUGCUAUCGCUUUUAGAUGGACCCGCGGCGUAUUAACUAGUUGGUGGGGUAACGGCCUACCAAGGUGAUGAUACGUAGCCGAACUGAGAGGUUGAUCGGCCACAUUGGGACUGAGACACGGCCCAAACUCCUACGGGAGGCAGCAGUAGGGAAUCUUCCACAAUGGACGCAAGUCUGAUGGAGCAACGCCGCGUGAGUGAAGAAGGUCUUCGGAUCGUAAAACUCUGUUGUUAGAGAAGAACACGAGUGAGAGUAACUGUUCAUUCGAUGACGGUAUCUAACCAGCAAGUCACGGCUAACUACGUGCCAGCAGCCGCGGUAAUACGUAGGUGGCAAGCGUUGUCCGGAUUUAUUGGGCGUAAAGGGAACGCAGGCGGUCUUUUAAGUCUGAUGUGAAAGCCUUCGGCUUAACCGGAGUAGUGCAUUGGAAACUGGAAGACUUGAGUGCAGAAGAGGAGAGUGGAACUCCAUGUGUAGCGGUGAAAUGCGUAGAUAUAUGGAAGAACACCAGUGGCGAAAGCGGCUCUCUGGUCUGUAACUGACGCUGAGGUUCGAAAGCGUGGGUAGCAAACAGGAUUAGAUACCCUGGUAGUCCACGCCGUAAACGAUGAAUGCUAGGUGUUGGAGGGUUUCCGCCCUUCAGUGCCGCAGCUAACGCAAUAAGCAUUCCGCCUGGGGAGUACGACCGCAAGGUUGAAACUCAAGGAAAUUUGACGGGAAAUNANUNUUUNUNUNCUUUGUCUUG